CGAGGGGCAGCGGGGAGGAAGCUUGCUUUCUCCGCCGGCGACCGGCGCACGGGUGAGUAACACGUAUGCAACCUGCCCCUGUCAGGGGGACAACCCGCCGAAAGGCGGGCUAAACCCGCGUACAUGCCACCGGGGCAUCCCGGAGGCAGGAAAGGCUUCGGCCGGACAGGGAUGGGCAUGCGGCGCAUUAGGCAGUAGGCGGGGUAACGGCCCACCUAACCGACGAUGCGUAGGGGUUCUGAGAGGAAGGUCCCCCACACUGGUACUGAGACACGGACCAGACUCCUACGGGAGGCAGCAGUGAGGAAUAUUGGUCAAUGGUCGGGAGACUGAACCAGCCAAGCCGCGUGAGGGAGGAAGGUACAGAGUAUCGUAAACCUCUUUUGUCAGGGAACAAAGACUGGGACGCGUCCCCGGAUGAGUGUACCUGAAGAAAAAGCAUCGGCUAACUCCGUGCCAGCAGCCGCGGUAAUACGGAGGAUGCGAGCGUUAUCCGGAUUUAUUGGGUUUAAAGGGUGCGCAGGCGGUCUGUUAAGUCAGCGGUCAAAGCCCGGGGCUCAACCCCGGCCCGCCGUUGAAACUGGCAGUCUCGAGUUGGAGAGAAGUAUGCGGAAUGCGCGGUGUAGCGGUGAAAUGCAUAGAUAUC
rnacentral:rRNA from 1 species